CAGACCUAUGGCUGGUUUGAAAAAUAAUGUAAUAUAUGGUAUUAAAAGGCAUGGGAUGGAAAAUCUAAGCCUAUUAGUGGCUCGAGCCCACCCAUGGACCAACCUCCCUGACUGUCAUACAAGCUCUGGGCCCAAAAGUGCCCAGAAAGGCCAUCUUUAGGGCAGGCAGCCUUUUCACUCUCUGCCUCUGUCUUUCCUGCUCAUCCUACCACCCCGACACAACCUGACCUUGGUGUGCAGCCACACUGCAUCAGCCAGAACACAGAAGAACACCGGGACAAGGAAAUCUGUUGGACCUAACUCAAAGGUGCCUAGUUAGGCUUCAGGGCUCACUGGAGUUUCCUUAAGACCAGGUUGGUCCAAGGCACCGGAGACUUUCCACUGGUUGCCAGACUGCUGUUUAGCUGAAAGCCCUGACAGCUGUCCGCUGGGCCUGCAGCUCCUUAACUCUGGAACUGUAGCUGGGGACUCCCGCUUAAUGUCCCAGAUGUGCUUGGUCUUCCCAGAACUCAGAAGAUGCUCUAAAGGGCUAAGUGUAGACCUCUGUUUACCUUGGCCCUGGACCCAGCCAUGGCUUCCAAAUUCUCCAUCCAAAGAACCCUAGGCCUGGCUGCAUGCUGAUCGAAAAAGCUCCCUUUGGGAGACCUCAUCUCCGGGUCAUUUGAUCAGCUCUGGGUCCAAAUCUGUCCUCAAUACACAUUGGACAAACGGCAACUACUGGCUCAAAUUGUGAACUGCCAACUUCUGAUAUCUAAACUGAUUUAGGUAACUCUGUGAGAUGGAAUGGUAACCUAAUGGGAGGCCUCAUCCCCCACAAAAUCCACAGUUCACUUUGAUCUUUCUCAGGGUUUAUAGCUACACCUAGAGUCAGGAUGCCCAUAGCCAUUUCUGCUGGGCCUCCAAACUUGCAUCUUUCCUAUCUGAGAUAGCACAGAACUCUCGGCCUUGUGCUUAUGGCCUACUUGUGUUUCUGCCUCUCCAAGCCUGGUAAGUCCCUGCUUGUAUCUUCAGCUGCUGAGCAUUCUGCUGGACGGUGGUGGUGCACACUUUAAAUCCUAGCACACGGGAGGCACAGGUGGGCCGAUCUCUGUGGGUUUGAGGUCAGCUUGGUCUACAGAGCGAGUUCCAGGGCAGGCUCCAAAGCUACAGAGAAACCCAGUCUUGAAAAACCAAACCAAACAAAACCGAAACAACAACAACAAAAACAUUCCAGGUUGUCUGCUCCCAUCUGCAGACAUACACAAACUGGUUAUGGAUAUGCAGAUCACCAGGUUGAGUCUUACAGAGAUUCAGAUGUCUUUUGAGUAUGGAUAAUAUGGACAAAUUGUUGCAUGCUGUCCCAUUCUGCUGAAAAGGCUGGCUCUGGAGUUGGAAUUUGGACUAUCUGCCCCAGACUCAAGAAUGUUUGUGUAAGUUUCCUCCAAAGUCUCUGUCCAGGCUCAGGCUGACCACCUGACUCUGUGACAAGGAGGAGAGAAAAACAAAACAUCCCAGGAAAAGACACUUUGCUCUUGAGAACACCUAAGAAGUAAACUUUUCCUGUAGAGGUUACGGCAGAGUGUUUAAAGUCCUGAAUUCUCCCUCUUUCUUCUUGGUUUUGUUUACUAUCUUUAAAGCUUUUGUUGAAACUUUAACUUUUUGUAUUUUACCAUUUCUAAGUUCAUUGAGUAUGAUUUAACAAGGAUGUAUAGAUCAUCUUUUACCAUAACAGGCCAUGUAUGUAACUUGGAUUCAGUUCUUGUUUAAGAAGAGGGUAUGUGCCUGCUGGGUAUCAUGUCACUUCCUGCCAUCUUGGCUAAUGACCUAGGCUUACCUUGGAAUGCCGUGUGCCUUGAUGCCACCUUGGAAGCCAUGUGACUUAGCCACCAUCUUUAUUAAGGUUAAAAAAAGGGCAUGCCGUGUGACUUCCCGCCAUCUUGGUUAAGGUGACCAUGUGAUAUAAACCAAUCAGAGCAGCACCCAUAAAGUGACUACACCCACUGAGCUCUACUUAUGUAUCUCUGUUUUAUUAGACUAAGGAGGCAACACCAGCUUACAAGAUAAGGUUUGUUUUGAAUCUGAGUCAUAGAAAAAAAACUGGCAUUUUUUAAAACUAGACUAAAAAAGACCAAUCUCUCUGUGGACCUUACUUAUGGUUUUAAAUUUAUUUUAAAGGGAUUGAUCUUUAAUUCAAGAUUUACAUUUUUAAGGUUUAAAAUAAACCUUAAAAUUGUAAUAAAAUUAUAAAAAUCCCAAUCUUAUAAAAGAGUUACUUACUAAUUAUACAUUGUUAAAGAUAAUUAAUGUAUACAAGCUAAUUGGUCAGUCAUGCUAAGUACAGAUGUAAUUUACAGAGAUCAGGUUGGAAGGAGAGAUCUGUUUUUAUCUCCCACCCUCUAGUCUCCUGUUACCUUCUGCCAUAUAGUAUUCUGUAUAUGUUGUCAAAUUAAGACUAAAGCAAGUAAAGUAAAGCAAGUUUAAAGGAAACAGCUUGUUUGAUGUAAAAUAAUAUGCAAAAUCAAGUAUGUCUUGAAAAUUGGUCAUGGAAAAAAGUGAAUGCUUGAGCAAAAUGGGUUAAAUUUACAGUACACUUGAAUGACAGGGAUGCACCCGACUCAAGUAGUUUCCUUAGAUGGAGCACAUGUUCCCUUGGAUGGAGCACCACCAGAGUAAGUUGCGUGCUGACCUCCUCUCAGGACAAGGAUGCAUGGAAAUAAGAAUAAAAUAAACAAACAGCAAAACAAAAACCCCACGCCUUCUCUAAAGAAUUACUCCUGGAGUCUCACAUGAUGGGAGAAUGGAGUCUCUCUCUUGCCCAGCAGAAGAUCUCAGAGUCCACACCCACACCCUAAACAUCUCAAACAGCAGAAAGGCAAAUGUCAAUUACUCUGCCCUCAGUGUCUCCUGAACUGACGCGUGAGGCUGCUGUGGACAGGGAACAAACCUUGCCCGUAAGCCUACCACCGACUGGCGUGGGACCUGCAGGCUACUUCAAGGGGCCAUGUCCUUUACCCUGGUAUUCAGUUCCUCCUCUCAUGGUCCCUGAUUAUAGGACAAUGCCAGACACUGCCAUCAAUCUCACAGCUUUGGGAAGUUGUUCAGAAUAGCCAAGGAUGUCUUUGGCAGUUGGUUUUGUGUCUGUGGAGUCGAUAAAUGGCUCUCUUAAUUGAUAUCCCAAGGCCUCAGGUUCUUCAGGACUAGAUGACUCAGAGGAAGGAGUUUCUCUCCAACCUGGGCUAACCUGUGGUACUUUGAAAACAUAAUCCAGUCAGAGAGUUCUGGGGCUAUGCCGGUGUUCUCACCUGGAAGCCUACAAGGAGCACAGGGCUUUGGCCAUGAAGUAAAAUGCCUGAGUAAAGAAGAGACAUCACUGUUCUUCAGGCAUUCAGUGAGGCUUGUGAAUAUUUUCUUAAACAGUUCAAAAGCCAAAAGCUCAUCCAAUUUAAUCUUGCUCAAUUAUACCUCUAAACAACCAAUCUAUUUUUAAAUAGACUGAUGUGAAAAAACAUGCUUACUACUGUCACUAGAGUGGUGACCUAGAGAUCUGUCCUUCUGCAGAAGGAGCCGAGGGUUGGUUUUCUGAGCCUUCUUCUUUAAUUCAUCCAUGUUACAUGUAAACUGUUUGUUACAGAUUUGAUGUGACUGACUGCUUUCACCUCUUGGUUCAGUGUAUGGAAUGAGAAUAUAGAGAUUUUUUUUUAGGUUUCUGUUAAUAGGGUUAAUUUUACAAAACUUUGUAAAAUGAAUCAUCUACUCUUGACAAGUCAGACACUGUCUCUGGGAAUAUAGUUUUUAAAUUGGAAAUCAUUUCUUUCUGGGGAAUACAACUUAGAAUUAAGUUGUCUCUUUACACAGCCUGACAGUAUAAAAUGUAUUCACUAUAUAAUCUUUGAAUAUAACUAUAGCAAUUUAUAUUAAAAUAUGUAUUAUCAUGUUUUCAAAUACUGGAUGUGGUCUUUUAAGGUAACAGUUCUAAUUUUUAAAAUUUAAACUUGUCAAUUUUUUUCUAGCCAAAAAUUUUGUUUAAUUUGAGAUUUGCAUUAAGUAGUAGCUGGCGUUGUUACUAUUUGAAAUGGAUAUAUGCAGUUUAUCAGACUUGCAAGCAAGGGUACCACUCACACACUUUCUGUUCAGAUUCAUCCAUUGGACCCUGACUUUUCUUUUUUUCAAGACAGGGUUUCUCUGUGGCUUUGGAGGCUGUCCUGGAACUAGCUCUUGUAGACUAGGCUGGUCUCAAACUCACAGAGAUCCACCUGCCUCUGUCCAAAGUGCUGGGAUUAAAGGUGUGUGCCACCAUCACCUAGCUUGGAUCCUGACUUUAGCUGACUUCUUUUACAAAGCUCCCAGGUGCUUGUUCCUCAUGCAGGAGACUGAUGUUCAUACAGCCAUUCCGUCACCGUAUCGUUCUGCAGAACUCUGGCACAUGGUCCAGCCACUUGCACAUUUGUGUUUAAUUCAAGUUAACAAUGAUGUAAAAGUUUUCCUCACUCAACUCUGUCUCUUAAUGUCCCCCUCAGAAUUGUACAGUUACUGUCUCCUGGCUUAUGUUCUGGGUCUUUGUCGACUGUUAAGUUCUCUUAUAGCCUCUUGGAUGGGCCCUCUUCUGAGACACUGUAGCUGCUGUUCCCUCAUUGCCCUUCUGUCAGCCUUGAAGCAGUUACUGAAAGACUGAUGUUUCCAAGCCCCUAAGAGCAGUUUGGAUGACUUCUACAAGAGGGCUACUGGGCUCUGGACCGUCCAAUUUGUCUCUCUUCUUGCCACUCUGGGUAUUGUUUUUUAGGGACUCAGAGCUGAAACGGCUGAACUGAGCCUCCUUUGCCUCAGUUACCCUCUCUGUGUCACCGGCUCAGCUCAGCGCACCAUCCUUCCGUACCAGCUGGACACCAUGACUGCUGCAGCAUUCAGAGGUUAUAGGAGCAGAUCUGACUCCUGCUAAGGAUGGGAUCUGUGUGCUCCUCGAACAAUCCUGUUUCCACACCAACAAAUCCUAACUGGUUUGAGAUGGGGCCUAAAGACACAGGGACCAGACAAGCUUCCUUCUGGUUCCCUCCUGCUCUGGUUCCUCCCCUGGAUCAAUCACCCUUUCCUCUUCAUUGUCCUCACUCCUAUGCUGUCCCCUCUCUUUUAAACGUUUCACUUUCUGAACUUCACCCUAUUCCCAAACAGAAUGUUCCACACAAGCUCUCCCAGUAACGCUCACCCUGCAAUACUCCAUUUGCUCCUGAUAGACCUGCAACAGCUCUUUUAGAUGCUGCGGAGAAACUCUGACUAAAAGGAACCUUCUUUCCAGGCCAGAUGCAAUUCUUUAGAUCAGUUCUCUAGUUCCUCCUGUUCCCCUCCUUUGAUGCCCUGGCUCGUCUGCUGGCUCAUCCCGUGCUAUGGUCCUGGCAAUGGGGCCAGUCACUGUCUCCCUGAAUCAACUCUACCUAUGCCCCCUCCGCCCACCUUUGUUCUUUCCAACCCCUCAACUGUCCUAGAAGAUCUGUUUCACUCUAUCACCAAAUUGCCUGCUUUCAGAGCUCUACUAAUUAUUUUCCAAUUCUCUUCAGGAGUACAGGACAGCCAUCACUUGAACCAUCACAGCGGAUCAAGUUUAAGACUCUCCUCCUGCUACAUGGCCAGAGGACCCCCCUCUUCGAUGGACCUAGGCAUAGACCCUCCUCAGUGGAAAGCGGAUGUAACACCCCUGCCCUGCGUUUGAAUAUCCUUUCAGAGUUAGGAAUGAUAGUUUCCUGCUGAAGAACUAUACUUCCCAGCUUCCCUUGCAGACUUGGAAGUCAUUCCUGCCCCUGUAAGGGGCCUCCACCCAUCUUCCCCUGUAGGCAUUUUGGCAGUCUGAACGACUUCCUAAAACUGGCUGAACUGGACCUCCUGAGAGUGAUCUGUAGUUGGUGUGUCCCAGCCUGGCACAUGCUGGCCGGAAGAUGGAGAGAGUCUUCCUCCACCCUCCUUUCACACCACAGAGCUAGGCCUCCUGUUUCACGUGCUGCCUUUCUCAAGCCCCAGAAGAGAACGGCGCUCCUCGUCCUCCGAGGCACUGAUGGCUUUCUUCUGCUGAAGACGUCAGUGUUUGCUCAGUGGUGUUGAGUCUUAAACAAGCAUGCGCGCGACAUGCAGCGGAUGAUAGAAGCUGUCCUGUCUGUGCAAAGAUAUUCUCACACGAUCAUGUUUCCAUCAUCAUCCCGGGCCCCUGCAGUGGGCAAAUCUCUGCAGCUACUGAAAGAUAACAUUAGUCCUCAUACCACGUAAAAUGACUAGUUCCUCCGGGUGGGGAUGGCAUAGGAGGAAAUGCCCUCCUCUCUCUUCGGACACGGAGAAGGAGGAAACUCCCGAGACUUUGAGGAAACAUGGACGAUUCUUUGCUCACGAAGCAUCUCCUUUGACUUUGGAGUCUGGACCGCCAUCAUUCCAUUUUGGCUUUUGGAUCAAGAGAAUGUGUUUGCUGAGGCUGAUAGAGGCUCCAUCUAGGGCUGAACAUUCAAUAGUCAGGUGCUCUUAACACUCUGGCCAUGCAGUCAUCUCUGCAGUAACAGCUCCCCUCUCCAAAAAGAAGCCAGUGUGACCAGUCAAGGCGCUAAAACACAUUGAAGUGCAACUUAAGGAAGAAAGGCUUUGUUUUGGCUCUUAGACUGAGGUCCAGCCCAUCAUGCCAGGAAAGUCACAGAAGUAGGAGCCUGAAGCAGAUGGACCCGUUCCUUCUACAGGCAGGAAGAUACGUGGUACGACCAGAUGAGGAAAAGGCUGGGGAGAGGAGACAGAGAGGAGCGGUGAGAGACGCCAUGCUGCCGAGGGAGUAAACGUGUCAGAUUACAGACCCUUGGAAUGCAGUGGAACCAAUCACAGAGCAAGCAUGGGCAAUUACCUCCUAAAAGGCAAAUCUGACUGCCGAGUGGUCUGCCUGUGCAAGCUGCCUCCAGGUAAGUGAGCUGCAAACUGCUGCCUGGGCCUGGAGUUGCAACUCUGCUUGCCUCUUCCAUCCAGCUCUCUCUCCUGCUUCAGACUCCUCCCAGCUUCCAGAUGUACAGACUCCUUCCCUUGACAAUGCUCUAGACUAUACUCCAAGGCUCCUGUCCUUUGACAAUGCUCUAGACUGCACCCCUGGGCUCCUGUCCCUUGACAAUGUUCUUGACUGCACCCCAGGACUCCUGUCCCUUGACAAUGCUCUAGACUGAACCCCAGAACUCCUUCCCUUAACAAUGCUUUUGAUGCCCCCCAAACUCCUACCCUUGAUAGUGUUCUAGACUGCACCCCAGGGCUCCUUCCCUUGCAAUGCUCUAGGCUGCACCCCAGGGCUUCUUCUCUUGACAAUGCUCCUGAUGCUCCCCAGGCUUCAUAACCUCUGACUUCUUCAACAGGAAGUUUUCCCCAAAUGACACUUCAUUAAAUUUCUCUCCUGUAUCUUCUAUACUGCUUCUAUACCUUAAAGUUCUUCCAGAAGAACAGAGCCAUGGGAGACUCCUGUCUCUUUAAUUUGAUGUCCUGGAUGGUUUCUGGCUCUCUCUAGCUAGUGGCCUGAUGAGUUUAUGGGUGAGGAAAGAGCAUCUACACUUCCAACCUUGAUUCUGAAGCAGGCAGAUAGACAGAGCCGCUACUCAGGGCCACCUAAGCCAAUCUUCACUCAUAGAUGCAAGAGCUUCUUACAGUCUGAGCCCAGGUCUCUGGCAUGGCCCUCCUCUUCCCAGGGCCAGAAUGGCCCUCCGUUGUCCUUUGGGUUUAUGUAACUUGUCUUCUUGACUGUGCUUUGGAUUCUGCCUGUCCUGGCCAAUGACUUUGAGCUACCUCAAGGAACACUCACUCACAUGCUCCCUUCUAGACAUCACGGAAGAAAAGCAAGGUCUUUCGAAGUCCUGCCCCGCCCCAUCCUACCUGCUCCUUCCCCAAGACCUUCUGCCUCAUCUGUCAACCAAGAAGGCAGUUAAUAUACAAGCUUCCAAGAUGGUGGGUCAGAACUGAAGGCUGCUCAUGCCCAGGAGUGGAAUAGAAGAUUCCAUGCAAAAGCCUUGAAGGGCCAGACAGGAUGGCGCCUUUCUGUGAGCCCAGCACCCAGGGGACUGAGACUGGGGAACCCCGAGUCUGGGUUACACAGUAAAACCUUUUCUCAAAACAAAACGAAAUGGAAAAAAGCAAACUGCUGGAGGAUUUUUGGUGGUAAACCAAGCAGAGAUGCUCGGCAGCUUUAAAGGUACUGUGCUUGCGGCUGUCGGUGCCAGAAGCAGCAACUCAAAGCGGCAUAAGCAAGACAGGUUGUUAUUCAUACAGGUGCUUGGAAAUUAUCCACAAAGGGUUCAGGCUGAGGCUGGGCAAUCUCACUAAAGACCGGCUUUCUUCCUAUGACUGAAAAGUGACUUUCAGGUGGUCUUGGAGACUUCAGAUCUCAUUGUUGAAUCCAGGAAAGAAGAGGGAAAUACCUUGCUUCUGGCAUUUCUAAAAAUUCUUUUACUGUAAACAGACUUAGGUGGCUUCUGCCCUACUUCCAGCCAAUGGCCAUGGCUACGGGGAGGGAAUGAGCAGAUGGGAAGGUCUGGUGUCUCCUGGAAUGACAGACGUUGACUCCUCCAGAACACUUUUGUGUAGAAAGCAAAAAAGGGAAAACAGGGACACGUUCUAUGGAGGCCACUAACCAAUGUGCAUCCGUGGCCUGAUGGGAAUCCUAAAAUGCUGAUCAAAGCAAUUUCCCUUGGUGAGUGGGGAAAUGACUGGCGGCUGGGUGCACACACUGUGGGACUGUGAGCUGGCCUCUGCCUAGAGCAGGAGAAGAGUGUUUGGUUGGGAUUUCACAGCAUUUGGGCAGGUACACAGUUGGGCUGAGCACACAUGCUUGCAGGUGUCUCUGGAAUGGAUACCAGAGCCACGAGUUGGCACCUUGCUUGGCCAUUCCUGUGGCCACGUUCCCAUUGUCCCCACAUAGGUGUGGCAACAUGAAUGUCUCUCAUUACAUUUCCUUGUAAUCUGGACAUUAAUCCAAGCACAAGGAAUGUAAUGCUAACCCACACGAUGCAGGAGCAGCAACCUCAGCCUUCUUGUCGUCACAGGUUAGCAGCACAGCCCCCUGUGAGAGCUUGUUUACUUAUGCAAUACCCAGGUUUUACUUGGUUCAAUGUACUGUGUUACAACAACCUAGCAAUUUGCAUGUUCUUCCUGAUUAUCUGGUAAUUAAACCCAGUAAGUACAAACAUACUGUAAUUAUCGUGUAACCGGCCAUCUGGACGGAGGGAUGGAAAUAACCGUGUAUUUACGCUAUAGCUGUAUGAUAAUUAUGACGUAAUGGAAUGAUCAACCAUGAACAAGAAAGAGGAUUUGCUGAGAGUCACGAACAUGCUUUAACAUGUUUCUAGAAUUAAUUCUAGCAUUAAUUUUCUAGAAAUAGCCAGCAGCACUGAAAGGCAACUGGCUGAUGAAUCCUAUCCAAAUGGAGUCACUGAAGGCAUCGCUCAAGAUGAACUAAUAAGGAAGGGAAGGCAGAGCAGGAAGCCAAUGUGCCCACUCAUUUAUUUGGAUCUUGUUUACACUUCAUUGGACAUCACUAAGCAUUUGUUUAUUUGAACUGUUCCCCCAUUUGCAUCAGACAAAUCAGUGCCCAUCAGUAAAUGAGAAUGCGUUUAAAAUUGGCUGAUAUGUUUUGUUUUAUAGGUCUUAGACUCUUGGAGAAACAAAUAGUUUGCAGAUAAUAGCAUUUGUACUGUUGUAAAACUGUGUGUAAAGCACCCUCACCCUGUUGGACAGAGUGGUCACUGUAGUAACCUGGCCAGUGGGUGGCUUGAACAUUAAGCAUCACGCAGGGAUACGUAUACAGGAGGAGAGGAGGGAAAAAAGCGAAUGUGGGGCAGGAAGGUGGUCAAAGUCGUAACCAGGUAGGCAGCUGGCAAACAUCCAAGCUACUAGGCCUGAACUGAGCUGUCUCUAUCAAGUUCAAGAUGUUGGUAAGGUAAUAUGCAUCACACAAUGUUUCCUUAGAAGCAUUUUUAAAGAGUUGGUUGUAAUCACACUCACAUAAAGAUGCGGAUUCGGGGUUUUUUAUUUUCAAUUUUCUCCUCCUCCUUCCUCCUUCUCCUCCUCCCCUCGUUUCUCUCCCUCUCACCUUCUUCCUUCUCUUUUUCCUCCUCUUCUUCAUUUUUGGUAGGCUCUUGCUAUAUAUCACAUGCAGGCCUCGAGCUCAAGGUCUUCCUUCCUCGGCCUGCUGAGUGCUGGGUUCUAGGUCUACAGGCAUAUGCCACCAUGUCUGACUUUCAUUUGAAUCAUAGAUUUCUGUUUCAGAAACCCAAAGGAACAUAUGGAGAAGGUACUUCUAAACCAUCGUUGUAGGAUGUGGCUGCCUCUUUCAGGUGGCUUUUGCUGUCUCUAUUCCUCCUAUAAGUGUUCCUCACGUCAUUGUGCCUGUUGGUGAUUCAGCAUCUCCCAAAGGACACUGGGCUGUUUUCUCUGCCAUUUUCUUUCCAAUCCCACCCGUGUUGGACAGCAUCAUCUGCAGCUUAAUCAUUUAUGGUAGCUCUGAAAUGGUAUUUACAACAUUGAUUGAGUUAGGAUUUGAAGGUUUUUCUCCCUGUAAAUAUUUAUAUGAAUGUUAUAUGAAUAAAAGGAAUCAAGUGAACAAAGCAGUCUUUUAGGCUAAGAUUACUCAAGCUCCUUCACUCUGAGUCCAGUUACAGGAUCUUCACCGAAGUGGUUUAUCACAGGUAAAGGUUAAUGAAUACACAGGUCUGUGUUAUUUCAGUUUCCUUCUAAUUCUCACAAUUUUACUUAGGAUCACUUGUUUACAGUCUGACAGCUGUCUGUUGUGUGACUGACGUUUCCAGGGGAGACACAACACACAAAGUCUACUCACUCCAGAUAGGGAGUCCCCAACAGACCAAAGUAAGGAUGCCGACCAAGGUCCAACUUGGUGAACCAAUGAGUUUAUUGGAGUGACUUAAAGUAAUAUGGAUGAGGGGUUACUUACAGGAGCAAAAAUGACUCAAAAACAGCUGCAUCAUCAAAGCCCACCCCAUAGCAUGGAUGACAGCUCACAAAAACUGGAAACCUGGAGCACACCACACAACCUGCAGGAAAGAGCGUCCUUGCCCAGUGCCUCAGUUUGUCUGAACCUGUGGCUCAGCUGGCUUCUCCUUCUUCCAGGCAGUAGAUCAUGUCUCAGAGUCUUCUCUGUAGCUUGGCUUGUCUGAGAGUGGCUCUCAGUAGUCUUUGUUGUUUCCUUUAGAGAAGAAGCCUAGUGAGUCAAGUCAGUUUCAGGGACUUCCUGAUUUUAAGUUGUUUUCUUUCUGUCUAAAAGAGCUUCUGUGCAACAAUGUCCCAGUAACUACAUUUCUGUUGCUUUUUCUUUCUUUGUAGAGACCAGGAUCUUGAUUACCUCCGUGUGAGCCUCUCUCCAUCCAUCUGCAAAGAGACUGUAUUUUCCUCUCCUUUCUCUCUGUCUUGCCAAGAGUCUUUCCUAAGAGCUGCCCAGGAAUGUAAAGGUGUGAAGGUGAAGAGUGAGGUUCAUAUCUGUGUGAGGACUUUGCUCACAAUUUUAAAUUACCUAAUAAAGUUGAAGCAAAAGAGGGGUAUUUAUCAAAGGUCACAUAAGUGACCUAAUGUUGUGUGCCUUUAAGACCCCCCCUUUGCUUCCUGUUCCCAUUAAAGGUA